GACGAACGCUGGCGGCGUGCUUAACACAUGCAAGUCGAACGAUGAACCCGGAGCUUGCUCCGGCGGAUUAGUGGCGAACGGGUGAGUAACACGUGAGUAACCUGCCCUUGACUCUGGGAUAACUGCGGGAAACUGUAGCUAAUACCGGAUACGACCCUCGGCCGCAUCGCCAGGGGGUGGGAAGAAUUUCGGUCAAGGAUGGACUCGCGGCCUAUCAGCUAGUUGGUGAGGUAACGGCUAACCAAGGCGACGACGGGUAGCCGGCCUGAGAGGGUGACCGGCCACACUGGGACUGAGACACGGCCCAGACUCCUACGGGAGGCAGCAGUGGGGAAUAUUGCACAAUGGGCGCAAGCCUGAUGCAGCAACGCCGCGUGAGGGAUGACGGCCUUCGGGUUGUAAACCUCUUUUAGUAGGGAAGAAGCGAAAGUGACGGUACCUGCAGAAAAAGCACCGGCUAACUACGUGCCAGCAGCCGCCGUAA
rnacentral:rRNA from 1 species